CUUCGGUGAUGAUAAGAUGACGAGUCAGAAGCGGGUGGCUCCUGCAGAGUGGUGCCCCUGCGGUAUCACGUCCUGUGGUGCUGCGGGUGGCUCUUCAGCAGGAGCAUCCCAUCCUCAUUGAAUGAUUUUGAGGCAUUUGUCUGAGAAAGG
rfam:Anas platyrhynchos breed Pekin duck contig91724, whole genome shotgun sequence.